rnacentral:rRNA from 1 species
CAAUAGCGUAUAUUAAAGUUGUUGCAGUUAAAAAGCUCGUAGUUGGAUUUUUGGCAUUUUCUUACAGUCAUCCUUAAUUGGUAGGCUAGUAAAGAUAUGUCAUUUCUCUAUGUGUACGAUCAAAUCGUACAUAAUAAGGGCAUUUACUUUGAGUAAAUUAGAGUGUUUCAAGCAAGCCAUUGCUAUGAAUACUGCAGCAUGGAAUAAUAACAUAGGACGUUGGUUCUAUAUUGUUGGUUCAGAGAGCCGGUGUAAUGAUUAAUAGAAACAGUUGGGGGCAUUCGAAUUCAACAGCUAGAGGUGAAAUUCUUAGAUUUGUUGAAGACGAACUACAGCGAAAGCAUUUGCCAAGGAUGUUUNCAUUAA